rnacentral:rRNA from 1 species
AAUACGGAGGGGGCUAGCGUUGUUCGGAAUUACUGGGCGUAAAGCGCACGUAGGCGGCUUUGUAAGUCAGAGGUGAAAUCCCGGGGCUCAACUCCGGAACUGCCUUUGAGACUGCAUCGCUUGAAUCCAGGAGAGGUGAGUGGAAUUCCGAGUGUAGAGGUGAAAUUCGUAGAUAUUCGGAAGAACACCAGUGGCGAAGGCGGCUCACUGGACUGGUAUCGACGCUGAGGUGCGAAAGCGUGGGGAGCAAACAGG